rnacentral:rRNA from 1 species
GUAGGGUGCGAGCGUUAAUCGGAAUUACUGGGCGUAAAGCGUGCGCAGGCGGUUAUGUAAGACAGAUGUGAAAUCCCCGGGCUCAACCUGGGAACUGCAUUAGUGACUGCAUAGCUGGAGUACGGCAGAGGGGGAUGGAAUUCCGCGUGUAGCAGUGAAAUGCGUAGAUAUGCGGAGGAACACCGAUGGCGAAGGCAAUCCCCUGGGCCUGUACUGACGCUCAUGCACGAAAGCGUGGGGAGCAAACAGGAUUAGAUACCCUGGUAGUCCACGCCCUAAACGAUGUCAACUGGUUGUUGGGUCUUCACUGACUCAGUAACGAAGCUAACGCGUGAAGUUGACCGCCUGGGGAGUACGGCCGCAAGGUUGAA